AAAGAAUUUUUACUGAUCUGCCAAUUCUCUCUGCCUAGAAAUGAGAAAGUGAUCUGGCAAGCUGGCAAGGGAAUGAAAACCAACAGUCCUUCCACAAAACACUUCAGACAUGUGUACCAAUGAAAGAAAUGCAGGAAUAUGAAUGGAAGCACCUAAAUAUAGGAAAUGCUAAGUGUCUUUGCCUGGGCCAGUUAGCAUAGCUGAGAAGGGAUUGGGUAAUUGAUGUAGGCUGAAUAUGUGGCAGAACAAGCCAGGAGGGGAAGAAACAUCCUGUUACCUUGUGCCAGGAGAGCACACCCUGAGAGAAGACUUCCAAUGGUCAGCCAUGCUGCCAGGAGAACCAGCUGUGCAUAGUCACACAAGAUUCCUGUCUAUCCUGCAGAACUGGAUGAGAUACCAUCCCACAAGCACGAAGUGUCUGGAGCAGUGCCUGCUCAGCAUGAUCAGCCAGCUGUCUUCAGGCCACCAGCAAGUGUUCUGCAGAUCAGAAAUUCCAAAGCCCUUCAAUGAACAAAUAUUUAGAGCAUCCAUGUCUACAAAAAUGUUUUCUUGCUACAUUUUUGAAACCCACAGAACAAUGUUCAGAGACAUAAAGGCAGUGAAAGGUUGCCAGAAAACUCCAUUCCAACAUCUGUGCAUGUUUUAA
rnacentral:lncRNA from 1 species